AAGAGAUGUACAAAUGUUUAUUGAAUGCUUAAUAUAUUGUCGUGGUUUGAGCCCAGCCGGUAACUCAGAACCACACAGCCGCUCGCUCACUCCCCCCGCUUCUUCCUCCCCCCGCUCCCGGAGGGAUGGGGAGGAGAAUGGGACGAAUGUAACUCCCACGGGUUGAGAUAAGAGCAGUCCCGCAACUAAGGUAUAACACAAAACCACUACUGCUACCACCAAUGAUAAUAACGAUUAGUGAAAUAACAAGGGGAGAGGAUACAAUUGCUCACCACCCGCCGACCGAUACCCAGCCCGACCCGAGCAGUGAUCCGGGCCUUCCGGGUAACUCCCCCCGGUUUAUAUACUGGGCAUGACGUGCUGUGGUAUGGAAUACCCCUUUGGCCAGUUUGGGUCAGGUGUCCUGUCUCUGCUUCCGCCCGGCUUCCCCUCCUCCCUGGCAAAGCAUGAGACUGAGAAAGUCCUUGGUUGGAAUAAACAUUACUUAGCAACAACUAAAAACAUCGGUGUUAUCAGCGUUGUUCCCAGGCUGAAAGUUAAAAAACACAGCACUGCACCAGCUACUAAGCAGGAGAAAAAUGACUGCUAUAGCUGAACCCAGGACAGUAUCCACCCCUUAUUCCAUACCAUUCACGUCAUGCUCAGAUCCCACAUCUCUCAGCACACCAUCACCCCUGUCCCAUAUAUACACAUAUAUAUACACCCACACCCACACACAGAGAAAGAUAUCGUUCCCUAGUCCAUGGACCAAUCCCUGUAAAAUUGCUGAACUCAUCCAGUCCAUGAUGUCAGGCUCCAUCUCUUGUAAUAGUCUUUCAGGGCAGGAGGGACGGUACAUAGUGUUGGGUUGUUGCCUGCUGAUGAUACCGCCAAACUCAUCUGGUCACUGCUGAGCUCGUCUGGUUUCCUCAAAAUUCAUUCUUUGUUGAGGUGAUGAUCGGAGGGAAGUCAGGGUCAAUGGCUGGCGACCUGAAGAUAUCUAGCUGGUGGGCUAUAAAAGUGUUAUAGAGCAGGCAACAGCAUACAAUUGAGUUCAUUGGCUGUUUUCCCCCAAAAUCAAAUCCCCUUGAGGUACACAUCGGACUUCCCCAUCUUCCCGCAUUACCCACCAAGUAUAUCCAGGUCCCUGAGCAAAAGCAACCCCACGAGUGGGUUUGCCUUUACCUGAAGCAGGAAUAACCCAGACUGUCUUCCCCAACAAAUUCUUUAUGUGCACCACAGGAACUUUAUCCCCCUCUACAGUACGUAAAAGUUCUGAUUGGGCUGGGCCAGCCCUGUUGGCAGAUCCCCUACUGUUGACCAACCAGGUGGCUUUUGGUAAAUGUGUAUCCCAGUGUUUGAAAGUCCCACCACCCAUUGCUCUCAGUGUAGUUUUUAACAGCCCAUUGUACUGUUCGAUUUUCCCAGAGGCUGGUGCAUGGUAGGGGAUGUGGUAUACCCACUCAAUGCCAUGCUCUUUGGCCCAAGUGUCUAUGAGGUUGUUCCGGAAAUGAGUCCCAUUGUCUGCCUCAAUUCUCUCUGGGGUGCCGUGUCGCCACAAGACUUGUUUCUCAAGGCCCAGGAUAGUGUUCCGGGCAGUGGCAUGAGACACAGCGUAUGUUUCCAGCCAGCCGGUGGUUGCUUCCACCAUGGUAAGCACAUAGCGCUUGCCCUGGCGGGUUGGUGGGAGUGUGAUAUAGUAAAUCUGCCAGGCCUCCCCAUACUUGUACUUCAGCCAUCGUCCUCCAUACCAGAGAGGCUUUAACCGCUUGGCUUGCUUAAUUGCAGCUCAUGUUUCACAUUCGUGAAUAACCUGGGCAAUAGUGUCCAUCGUUAAGUCCACCCCUCGAUCACGAGCCCAUCUAUAUGUUGCAUCUCUGCCUUGAUGGCCUGAGGUGUCAUGGGCCCACUGGGCUAAAAAUAAUUCACCCUUAUGUUGCCAAUCCAAGUCCAUCUGAGCCACUUUAAUCUUAGCAGCUUUAUCCACUUGCUGGUUAUUCUGGUGUUCCUCAGUGGCCCGACUCUUGGGUACAUGAGCAUCUACGUGGCGUACCUUCACCACCAGGUUCUGCACCCAAGCAGCGAUAUCUUGCCACAAUGCAGCAGCCCAGAUGGGUUUACUUCUGCGUUGCCAGUUGCUCUGCUUCCAUUGCUGCAACCACCCCCACAGGGCAUUUGCCACCAUCCAUGAGUCAGUGUAGAGAUAAAGCACUGGCCAUUUUUCUCGUUCAGCAAUGUCCAAGGCCAGCUGGAUGGCUUUCACCUCUGCAAACUGACUCGAUUCACCCUCUCCCUCAGCA
ensembl:lncRNA